rnacentral:rRNA from 1 species
AGUGAACGCUGGCGGUAGGCCUAACACAUGCAAGUCGAACGGCAGCACAGUAAGAGCUUGCUCUUGCGGGUGGCGAGUGGCGGACGGGUGAGGAAUACAUCGGAAUCUACUUUUUCGUGGGGGAUAACGUAGGGAAACUUACGCUAAUACCGCAUACGACCUACGGGUGAAAGCAGGGGCUCUUCGGACCUUGCGCGAUUGAAUGAGCCGAUGUCGGAUUAGCUAGUUGGCGGGGUAAAGGCCCACCAGGGCGACGAUCCGUAGCUGGUCUGAGAGGAUGAUCAGCCACACUGGAACUGAGACACGGUCCAGACUCCUACGGGAGGCAGCAGUGGGGAAUAUUGGACAAUGGGCGCAAGCCUGAUCCAGCCAUACCGCGUGGGUGAAGAAGGCCUUCGGGUUGUAAAGCCCUUUUGUUGGGAAAGAAAAGCAGCAGGUUAAUACCCCGCUGUUCUGACGGUACCCAAAGAAUAAGCACUGGCUAACUUCGUG